GACGAACGCUGGCGGCGUGCUUAACACAUGCAAGUCGAACGGAAAGGCCCCUUUGGGGGUACUCGAGUGGCGAACGGGUGAGUAACACGUGAGUAACCUGCCCUUGACUUCGGGAUAACUUCAGGAAACUGGGGCUAAUACCGGAUAGGAAUCCUUGCUGCAUGGUGGGGGUUGGAAAGCUUCGGCGGUUUUGGAUGGACUCGCGGCUUAUCAGCUUGUUGGUGGGGUAGUGGCUUACCAAGGCUUUGACGGGUAGCCGGCCUGAGAGGGCGACCGGCCACAUUGGGACUGAGAUACGGCCCAGACUCCUACGGGAGGCAGCAGUGGGGAAUAUUGCACAAUGGGCGGAAGCCUGAUGCAGCAACGCCGCGUGCGGGAUGACGGCCUUCAGGUUGUAAACCGCUUUCAGCAGGGGCGAAGCUUGUGGUGACGGUACCUGCAGAAGAAGCACCGGCUAACUACGUG
rnacentral:rRNA from 1 species